AGCGAACGCUGGCGGCAGGCUUAACACAUGCAAGUCGAGCGGGCGUAGCAAUACGUCAGCGGCAGACGGGUGAGUAACGCGUGGGAACGUUACCUUUUGGUUCGGAACAACCCAGGGAAACGUUGGGCUAAUACCGGAUAAGCCCGUUACGGGGAAAGAUUUAUCGACCAAAAGAUCGGCCCGCGUCUGAUUAGCUAGUUGGUGAGGUAACGGCUCACCAAGGCGACGAUCAGUAGCUGGUCUGA
rnacentral:rRNA from 1 species